GCGUUCUUUCAUGAAACUGGGAAAAGGCAACAUAAAGUGGCAACUGCGAGACUGAGAAUGAAACGCGAGGCAGUGGGUUGUGUUGCUGCAGUUAUUUGGGGCUGGAAGAAAAUCUGGAAAGAGAAAGGAUCUCACGACUUUUUAAAGGGAACACUGCACACUUCAAAUUGCUGAAGCACAGGAGCAUGGGAAGUAUGUUGCAGCUGGUCUGGGCUGUGGAGGCUGUCUGUGAUACUUGUGCAGAGAAUGACUUGAAAACAAGAAUUGAAGCGCAGCUGGGGAGGAGCUGACACACUCAGAAGGGAAAAGUUAUCCUUGUACAUCUGAGAUAGGAGUCAGAGCAGCCCAAGGAGACGCUCAUGCUUUGCUUUCCUUGCCCAGGCAAAGAACAGCCUCUUUUCUACAAACUCAAUCCAGAUUUUUAGACAUCAGAAGAAUCACUCUGGUAUUGGAGCCUGAUCAAGCACAAAAAACAUCCUCAGCCUUCAGAAAAAUACCAGAUGGCUGCAGAUGCCAGCUCCUUCGGCCAGGCAGUGUUUUGAGAGAAAAGGCCAGCUUGUUGUGGAGUGCUGCAUCCCAGAUACAACUCUGCGGAGCAGCAAAGAGCCACAGAGAAAUCCCUGGAGGAGGAGGAGCAUCCAAGCCAAUGUAUUCCCGUAACAUCAGAUUUUCAAGGCUACACAUACGCUCAUAUCCAAAUAUGCUCUCUUUCUCCAGAGGGAAGAGGGGACCUACAGAAGUGACUCUGGCUGGAAAUGCUCUUAUGAGUUUCUGAGCAGUUGUGUGCACUUGAAGCUCCAGUCAGAGUUGCCAAAUCAUUGGAAACAAGUUACAAAAACAUGCCUGGCAAUGUAAGAGGGAAUAAUUUGGUCUCAUAGUGAACUGGUCUUUGGAAUAUCAACUGUGAGACUUUAAGCUGGUUGGUUCUCAGUCACCUGCUCUUUGAGGAGGUCAUCAUGGUGGUGUUGCUGCACAAGAUAAUAUUCUGUUUGCUCUACAGAAGUGGGUGCAAAGAACGAACACCUUUCCCAUAAAUAGCACAGUGAAAGGAUUUAUGCACCAUUUAAGACUUAAAACUGAGUGGGAUGCACACACCUUGUACAACUUUCACAACAGGAGAAAUGUCACUCUUUGUGUGGUGACUCCACUUCCAAAGACCACUGACUGCAAGAAAAACAGCCCAGCAGCCAAUAACCAGCAGGCUUUACUUGGUUCUCCAACAGCUCUUUUUUCCCACCAGCUCCUGGACAGGUAACAUGGUGUCAGGCCAUGUUUUCUUGAUGAUCAAGGAGGGAUUCACAGGGUUCACAGUGACUCAAUGACUUUAGCACCACUUUAGUGCCACGAAGCAGUGGGAGUGCCUGAGCCAGCCAGAGUAAUGUGAUACACACACCAAAGCCUGGUCAGCCACAUGGCCUUGUAAAAACCUGAGGUGCAAUUAGUUUCUAUUAAAAAAAAAAAAAAAAAAAAGAAGAAGUCUUUUCUUUCAUCUUAGGAGUCCUGAAAUGGCUGUGAUACAAUUAAAACCAACCGAAAAAAGAAUGACAAUGAGGAGUGGUGAGAUGCUCAUUUCUGGGGAGCGUGGGCUGGUAAUGUCCGUCUGGAAAGACCUCAGAGAGAGUGGUCACUUUUGAUUACUACAUAAUGUGAGUAAUUCUCUGAAAAGACCCGUCCUUCCCUCCUGAAUUGUAGCGAAGGGGGGAAAAACAACACACUCCAAAAACGGAAAGCUGCACAGCCCUUGGAUGUCAGGAGCCGCCCAAGAAUUCUGUGCAGGGGCCACCACACAGAAGCUGCAAGGAGAGAGCCACUGGCCCUGCCCUCUGCUCUGGGGUGACAGCUCCAGUUCUGGAGCCAAACUUGGACCAUAACACACCUACUGAAGUGGCCACCCAUGGCUCUGGUAGGUGGGGUGACACUAACAGCACAUGGAACAUCUCGUCACCCAGAAGCCACGCUCUCCAGUUCUUCAACCCAUGUUUGCACCUUGAUGCAUGAGGUGCAGGUGGCUCCUUUGGAGGCUCUGCCUUCUCUGAGAAGUUUGUCCUCAGUGUCGUUCCUGGCCAGCCCGUGGCAUGAACACAAACUGUGGAAGCAGAACAGUACAUCCCUGGUGCCAAAAAUGGGGCUGUGCUUCAGUCCCAGGGCAGCUGCUGUUCUAAAAAUCCAUGUGUGCCCAAAAGUUGAGAGGAACACCUGGGACAGAUCCCUGGUGUGGUGAGUACCUUGGGCUUUGCCCAUGGUACUGGGGGAAAUGGAGAAACAGUGGUAUUUGAGAAGGAAAGAGCCUGUUUUUUCCCAGGUGUACCCCCUGGCCGUACGACAGGCCCAGCAUCAGUCCUGAGGGUUUCACAGCUGGCACCUGGACAGCAACAGGAAGGUCCAAGAGAUACAUCACACCCCUAUUUCUUUAUAUAGACAUAUAUGGGUACAUUUAAACAGAUGAUUUUUUUCCUUCAUGCUAAUCCUCCACAAAACCAGUUUGGUUUCCAUUACUAUAUAUAGCACUGGGAAUCUUGGUCUAUUUUUUGUCCCUUUGCAUCUGAUUAUUUUCAGUAGAGCUCAAAGUUUUGAUGAUAUACAGAUUUUAACUGGAACAUGACAUCUACUCACACAAACUUCCAUUAGCAAUAAACCCACAAUGGCCACUUAUAACGUAGAAGAAUUUUAUUCAUACCAUAAUCCUGUCCCAUCAUCCACUGCAAAUAUUACAAUUGUCUUCAAAAUGUCACUGAAUAUAAUUUUGUUCCACUAAAAGCACAGGAAUCCUGGUGUUAGACAGUUACAUUUCUCUUGAGAUUGCUUAUAA